GUGAGUCAUCGAAUCUUUGAACGCACAUUGCGCCCGCCAGCACUCUGGCGGGCAUGCCUGUUCGAGCGUCAUUCAAACCCUCAGGCCCUGCCUGGCGUUGGGGCCCUGCGCGCGCAGGCCCUCAAAGACAGCGGCGGGUGCGCCCGGGACCGAACGUAGUCAUUCUUCUCGUUCUGGGACCGCGGCGCGCUCCGGCCGUUAAACCCCCAACUUACAGUUCGUUGACCUCGGAUCAGGUAGGAAUACCCGCUGAACUUAAGCAUAUCAAUAAGCGGAGGA
rnacentral:misc_RNA from 1 species